AAGUCGUAACAAGGUUUCCGUAGGUGAACCUGCGGAAGGAUCAUUACCAUUGGGACACCUAGUGUCGCCUAAAGUGUCGAGCAGACGUGGUACGGUUCCGUGCCAUGUCAGGGACCGAGCUGCGGCUCGGUCUAGCGCCGUUCCCUGCUGCUUGCUUGCUUGGCAGCAGGAGCUCAGUCCCACCGGGACGAAACGGACGGACCAGGUGCUUUCGCAUCUCCAACCUGUGCUUGAAAAGGAACACAAAAAUGCAGAACAACUGCAAACGGUGGAUCACUCGGCUC
rnacentral:misc_RNA from 1 species